rnacentral:rRNA from 1 species
GGGCAUCUGCGCAUGGGGGAAGCCCUGACGCAGCGCGCCGCGUGCGGGAAGAAGGCCUUCGUUUGUAAACCGUGUUUUACUGGGCGCAGCCUUUGGGGCGAGUGUUCUUUUUCCGUGACCGCCCGGUAAGUGAAAGCCACGGCUAACUACGUGCCAGCAGCCGCGGUAAUAC